rnacentral:lncRNA from 1 species
CCCAUCUUAGAAGUACUGAAAUCAACCAUGGACUCCAACGACGUAGCGCAGAACUUAUCUUCACUGACAAUGCCAGGUGCUUCGCAUUGGUCAAUCGUGUUUCGAAUCGACUCAGCUUCGAGACUUGUGGGAGGAAUGGAGAAGUGGGUGAGGAUUUGGGGCAGUUUUUGGGAAGAGAAAGGGAGUGAUUUGGCAACACGACGUGGCAAGAACUUAGUUGUUGUUGUUGUUUGUUUAGGGAAAUGAAGGGUGAAUUUAGACCUAGGGUGGAGAUCUUUUUCAAGAAAGAAAAGGACUGUAUUUGGGUCAUCGUGAACUUGGGUUUCUGUGGCUGCGUAUUUAUAAACAAAGGGACUGGAGCCCGGUUUAACUCCAACAUAAAUCGGUUUACCUUUUCGACCGGUGUGGACGUUAACGCCUCCAUUACCGACGUUAACGCUAGUGCCUCCUUGCUUUGGUUUUGGAGCGUUGACGUUAACUCCGCCUUUUCCGACGUUAACGGAGGUGCCUUUAGGCUUACCUUUUCCGGUGUUGACGUUUACGCCCCCUUUACCAACAUUCACCGAAGUGCUUUUUCCUUCCACAAAAUCUAGAAAACAAAGUAAUUAAUUUCUGAUUUUUACUCAAGUUGCUUCACGUGGUAUAAAAUAUAAAUUUUGCUCAAGGAAGGUAUGUAUUAACAAAUAAAAAAAUGGAUAAAAAUAUUUACAAAAUAUAUUAAAAUUUUAAACUUUACAAAAUAUAAACUUCUAAUUAUUUUUAUAAAUAUUUUGAGAUCAAACAUCAAACUAUGAGGUUGAUCGUACAAAUGUAUUUCAGUUCAAUUAUGUUUUAUAAAAAAAAUGUGUUUGAAAAUAUAAACAAAGUAAUUUUUUAAAGUUACAAUUUAGCACAAGAUUCUUUUUCAAAAAGAGAUUUUGGAAUAAUUUAAACAAAAUUUUCACAUCCAAACUCACUUAAAAAACAUAUGCUUCUAAUAAUACAAACUAAUCCAAUUUUGAUUCACUACCAAACUGCUUAUAACAAUUUCAAAAUAACCUUCUAAUUGUUUCAAAUUAAUUUUUAAAAUAUUUUUAUUAAUUCCUCAAAAUCAAUUAUAUAGCAACCAUAUCUAUUUUAGAUGUUAGACUAUUUCAAAAUAACCAUAUACCAACCCGA